rnacentral:rRNA from 1 species
AGUGAACGCUGGCGGCAUGCCUAACACAUGCAAGUCGAACGGUAACAGGCCCGCAAGGGUGCUGACGAGUGGCGGACGGGUGAGGAAUACAUCGGAAUUUGCCCAGUCGUGGGGGAGUAACGUAGAGAAACUUACGCUAAUACCGCAUACGACCUAACGGUGAAAGACGGGGACCGUGCAAGGGCCGUCGCGCGGAUGGAUAAGCCGAUGUCGGAUUAGCUAGUUGGCGGGGUAAGAGCCCACCAAGGCGACGAUCCGUAGCUGGUCUGAGAGGAUGAUCAGCCACACUGGGACUGAGACACGGCCCAGACUCCUACGGGAGGCAGCAGUGGGGAAGUAUUGGACAAUGGGGGCGAACCCU